UCGAGUUCUCUUAAGAUCCAUAAGAGAAGUAGUCGCAGAACUGAAAUGAACAACCCACAAAGCUUUGACAUGCAAAUGCAGUGACAAGGCGCCCGGCCCGGAUGGCUUCACCGGGUUUUCUUCAAGAGUUGUUGGGCCAUCAUCAGGCAUGAUAUUAUGAAGGCCAUCUUUUGCUUCUGUAACCUCCGCACGGCCAACCUUCAUUGGGUCAACUCUGCCAACAUUAUACUGCUCCCAAAGAAGGAUGGAGCUGAAGAAAUCUCCGAUUACCGUCCAAUUAGUCUGAUUCAUGCUAUUCCCAAGAUCAUUGCAAAGGUCCUUGCCAUCCAUCUUAGCCACCACAUGCUCCACCUUGUCUCCAACGCGCAGAGUGCUUUCAUCAAGACAAGAAGCAUCCAUGACAAUUUCAUGUAUGUGAGGAAUCUUGCACGGAGGCUCCACAAGUGCAAAAUCCCUUCGCUUCUCUUCAAGUUGGACAUUCGGAAGGCAUUUGAUUCAGUCAAGUGGGAGUAUAUCAUUGACCUCCUCCGCCAUAGGGGGUUCCCGAGCAUUUUCAGAGAUUGGAUCACCGCCCUACUUUGCUCCUCUUCCUCGCGGAUUCUUCUUAACGGCGUCGCUGGCAGCCCCAUCAUCCAUGGCCAGGGUCUCCGGCAGGGGGACCCUAUAUCCCCCUUGCUAUUUGUGCUCGCGAUCGACCCACUCCAAAGAAUUCUUGAGAUGGCAGCAACUAGAGGGCUAUUUCAUAAAAUCCGUGGCCGUGGGGUUCUUUUACGAACCUCCCUUUAUGCGGACGACGCGGCGGUCUUCAUGGCACCCAUCAAGCGCGAUAUUGACCACCUCUCCAACAUCCUUCGUCUUUUUGGUGAUGUCACCGGUCUAGCCACCAACUUUCACAAGAGCUCGGUCAUCCCAAUCCGUUGUGGGCACAUCAACCUGUCGGACAUCCUUCAAAAGCUUCCGGCGGCGCGCGGAUCCUUCCCCAUGAAAUACUUAGGCCUCCCGCUCUCUGUGUGGCGGCUCAGGAAGGUGGACUUUCAGUUCUUGGAGGAUAAGGCGGCGGCAAAGUUGGUCCCUUGGGACGGGCAAAACAUCACGUCUAUGGGACGCACCGCCUUGGUCAAGUCAGUGCUUGCCUCCCAAGCCAUAUACUUCAUCACUACGCUCGUCGUCCCCACAAGCACCCUCAAAAAUCUCAACAAGCUUGAGCGAGCGUUCCUUUGGGAGGGAACAGACAAGACCACCGGGGCCAAAUGCAAGGUUAAUUGGGACGCCGUUUGCCGCCCAAUUGCCAAUGGGGGUCUUGGAGUGCUAAACACGGAGAAAUUCGCUAGGGCACUGAGGAUUCGUUGGAUUUGGUUUGAGUGGAAGGAGCCAACUAAGAUGUGGGUUGGCAUGGGCAACCCGUGCGAUGACGCAGACUACAACUUCUUCUAUGCCUCCUCAACUAUUAUCGUGGGAAAUGGCGCGCGCGCCCCCUUUUGGGACUCUCCGUGGGUGCACAACCGCAAACCCAUGGAUUUGGCCCCUCUCAUCUAGGCGGCGUCAACGAGGAAGAAUUGGAAGGUGCGGGAAGCACUAAAGGAUGGCGCUUGGGUUAAAAAGAUCAAGAUGACGUCCGAUUUUUCUAUAGAGCACUUCAGACAAUUUCUCGAGCUUUGGGCCACCAUCCGGGAUUUUCACCUACAGGAGGAUAUUGACGACGACAUUGUUUGGAAGCAUUCUACUAGUGGCCUCUACACGGUGGAGUCCUCCUACAAAGCGCAAUUUCUCGGCCUCAUUCGCUCUCCCUUGGAGCAUGCAGUGUGGAAAAUCUGGGCUCCACCCAAGGUCAAGUUCUUUGCUUGGCUGUCCAUCCAAAAUAGAGUCUGGACUGCGGAUCGAUUGGCCAAGCGUGGUUGGCCUAACUGUGGCUCAUGCCCCCUAUGCAUGCGUGAGAAUGAAUCGGUUGACCAUCUCUUCUUCAAAUGUCGUUUCACUGUUCGCCUAUGGGGCUUGGUCAAGGCGUGGCUGCAACUCAUUCACAUUGACACCUCUACUUGGCCCCUGAGGCAUUCCACCUUAGACUGGUGGCUUGGGUUGACUGAUGCUUCCGUCCCCAACCGGAAGGCCAUGGCCUCGCUCACCAUGCUCACUACAUGGACGAUCUGGAACGAGCGAAAUGCUCGUGUAUUCCGCAACAUGGCCGCUCCGCCCACGGUUCUUCUCGACAACAUCAAAAGGGAGGCAUCAUUUUGGGUCGCCGCUGGAGCUAAGAAGCUAGGGUCCAUCAUGCCGGGAGAGUGAUUCUUCCGUGUAUUGUUAAGGGGUGUUUGUAACACAAACUCUAUUCUCUCUUAAUUAAUAUACGUGGCAAAUCUUUUGCCCGUUUUAAAAAAAAUGCAAAAGGGGUGAGAGGGCAAUCGUAAAGAAACAGAAGUUAAAUAUAAAAUAUAGCAAUCUCACAUCAGGAUAUGACUCGAGAGCAUUAUCGCCAGUUAAAAGUGAACCAUGCUUGAAACCUUUAUUUUCAAAAACAUUGCACCUACAUGCAGCAAAAAUCCAUAAGUCAAUGAUCAAUAAAAUAGUGUCCAUGAGCGGGACAAACUAACAAAUUUAUGUGUAUUGAUUAAUCAUACAUCCAAAUCAUAUAAUAACCCGCAUUGGUCCUUCUUCGGACAUUUCUUCUUUACUGAGCAUAGACAGAAACAAUUGAGAGAUAAUAGAGAGAAGG
rnacentral:lncRNA from 1 species